rnacentral:rRNA from 1 species
UACGAAGGGGGCAAGCGUUGCUCGGAAUUACUGGGCGUAAAGGGCGCGUAGGCAGCCUGAUAAGUAGGGGGUGAAAUUCCGUGGCUCAACCACGGAACUGCCUUCUAAACUGCCAGGCUUGAGCACGGUAGAGGCAGAUGGAAUUCCCGGUGUAGCGGUGGAAUGCGUAGAGAUCGGGAAGAACACCAGUGGCGAAGGCGGUCUGCUGGGCCGUUGCUGACGCUGAUGCGCGACAGCGUGGGGAGCAAACAGG